CAAGUGCUUAGGCCAGGAAACUUACAGAAGGGAAGGAGUAGUUCUAAAUGCUGGGAUCUGGAAAAGUACUUUGGAAUUGGUGCCAUCUGAGGUGAAGCUGGAAGGAAGCUCCUUUUCAAAAAGCAGUCCCUCAGUGAGCUCAUCUGCUCUCAGGAAUUCAUCCAUUGCUGCUGUGCGGAUGCUUCAAAGUCUAACCACACGAACCAUCAGUUACCAGCCAUCUACUACCUGAUGAAAGGGAGCAAAAGCGAACACAGGGCCCUCAUCUUGAAAAAUGCACCAACUUCCAGUUGAUGCCUGCUCCCCUUCCCCUUCCACCGUGUUUGAAAGCUUCCUGAGGUCCUCACCAGAAGCAGAUGCUGGUGCCACACUUCCUGUACAGCCUGCAGAACUGUGAGCCAAAU